rnacentral:lncRNA from 1 species
CUACCAGGUAUAGAAAGUACUUUAGACAGAUUCUAAGUUAAAUUUCUGUAUGAAAGAUACUUACAAAUAUAAUAAAUUUUUUGCAGUGUUCUUUCUUCCCUUGAAGACAUUACAUUCAGCAGAAUUUCAUGUUACCCAUAGUUACUGGAAAAUUUAAAAACAUAGGGCUUCCCAUUGAAAACAUGACCACUAUGGAGAUGGCAUCACCAUCCACUCAUGUUUCCAGGAGACAUGUAAAGUAAUCUAAAAAUUCAGCCAGAAAGACUUUUUUUUUCUGCUAUGGAUUAUCUAUACUCAUUCAGUGGUAAACAGUAUGCUUCUCAAAAUGCAUAAAGCUGAAAUCCUAUUGAGCUACUGUCUAUCUGAGGCAAAACUGUCUUUGCUAAGAGGCUGGCCAAACUUGUGAGAAGAACUUUUAUCUAGGAAAGAUAGGUUUGCAAAAGAGGAACUGGGUUUUUUUGCUAGGCAAAAGAAGUCCAAUUGUAUGCUGAUUUGCAUUCUAAUCUAAGUAGACUCUACAACACUUCCUGAACAUAUGUCCUCCUGCUUUAGACACUUAUACCAUGAAAGACCGUACUUAAGGUGUGCAUUGCCCUACAAACACUGGAUUAUUUAGGAUUCUGCAGAUACUUACUUGCAUGCUGGAUUCCGAACAUCAACUGUGAUUGCUGUAGUUUUCUAACAUGCUGAGUCAGAUUGCUAACUUUUUCCCACAUGUAAAAUGAAAUCUUAGAAUAGGUUCUAAAUAAAUAUAUGUAGUACGUGGAAUACUCA